UACAGAGGGGGCGAGCGUUGUUCGGAAUUACUGGGCGUAAAGGGCGCGUAGGCGGCCUUCUAAGUCGAACGUGAAAUCCCCGGGCUCAACCCGGGAACUGCGUCCGAUACUGGGAGGCUUGAAUCCGGGAGAGGGAUGUGGAAUUCCAGGUGUAGCGGUGAAAUGCGUAGAGAUGCGGCGGAACACCGAUGGCGAAGGCAGCCCCCUGGGCUGAGAUUGACGCUCAGGCACGAAAGCGUGGGGAGCAAACAGG
rnacentral:rRNA from 1 species